rnacentral:misc_RNA from 1 species
CAACCCUCAAGCUCUGCUUGGUGUUGGGGCCCUACAGCCGAUGUAGGCCCUCAAAGGUAGUGGCGGACCCUCCCGGAGCCUCCUUUGCGUAGUAACUUUACGUCUCGCACUGGGAUCCGGAGGGACUCUUGCCGUAAAACCCCCCCAAUUUUCCAAAG